UACGUGAGGGGCAAGCGUUGUCCGGAUUUAUUGGGCGUAAAGAGCGUGUAGGCGGCCACACAGGUCCGCUGUGAAAACUCGAGGCUCAACCUCGAGCUGUCGGUGGAAACCGUGUGGCUAGAGUCCGGAAGAGGAGAGUGGAAUUCCCGGUGUAGCGGUGAAAUGCGCAGAUAUCGGGAAGAACACCCGUGGCGAAGGCGGCUCUCUGGGACGGUACUGACGCUGAGGCGCGAAAGCGUGGGGAGCAAACAGG
rnacentral:rRNA from 1 species